ACCGAUGUGGUCUACUGGUUAUGAUUUGGGGCCUUCAUCCCUGGAGACGGGGUUCAAUUCCCCGCGUCGGUA